rnacentral:rRNA from 1 species
GUGGGGAAUCUUGCGCAAUGGGCGAAAGCCUGACGCAGCGACGCCGCGUGGGUGAUGAAGGCCUUCGGGUUGUAAAGCCCUUUCAGCGGGGAAGAAACGUCCGUCGUCGAAUAGCCGGCGGACCUGACGGUACCCGUAGAAGAAGCCACGGCUAACUCCGUGCCAGCAGCCGCGGUAAGACGGAGGUGGCAAGCGUUGCUCGGAUUUACUGGGCGUAAAGCGCAUGUAGGCGGCCCCGCAAGUCAGACGUGAAAUCCCACAGCUCAACUGUGGAAUUGCGUUUGAAACUGCAGGGCUUGAGUGCAGGAGAGGAAGGUGGAAUUCCCGGUGUAGAGGUGAAAUUCGUAGAUAUCGGGAAGAACACCGGUGGCGAAGGCGGCCUUCUGGACUGUUACUGACGCUGAGAUGCGAAAGCGUGGGGAGCAAACAGGAUUAGAAACCCCUGUAGUCC